rnacentral:rRNA from 1 species
CAUCUCUGAAUCUGCGAACGGCUCCGCACAACAAGAGUAACCAAGCGCUUGAUGCUACGCUGUCCUUACAGGCAGCGGAGGCAAAACGGAUACCCCCGGUAAUUCUGGGGCUAAUACGCGUUCGAUAUCUUGGUCGCAGUUUCGCGGGCUCUCGCUUGCGGGGGUCCACCUUUGUGGCUGGGAAGCGUGCGAGCAGAUUUUGCUCCGUUUUAUAAGGAAUCAGCGCAUGCCGGUACAGUGGCCGAGAAAAAGGGGAGGUCGCCUCCAAGCAGCCUCCCGGGCCUGUGCUUGCGUUGGGCUCUUGUUCCUAUCAUACUCGCCUGCAGCGUAACGGACAUGCAGGGGUUUUGACGGGUACAGAGGAUUAGAGUUCGAUCCUGGAGAGUGGGCCUGAGAGAUU